ensembl:lncRNA
GUGUAAGUAAACAACAGCCGCAAGCAAAUGAACAAAAGCCCCAAACGGUUUUACUUAAGGGAUUUUGUAAGGUCGAAAGGAUUUAUUUAAGAACAGAAUAGUUUUCUUUUUAGUUGGCCCAUAUAUGAUUGACUUUUGGAUUGUAUAACUGUGAGGUAGGGAGAUUCAAGUACAAGAAAGAGGAACCAUUAGCUGAGUGGGGUGGAUUGAGCUGGAGCAGAGGCAAGGCCAGUUUGGGGAGAGAGGAAAAAGGAGACCAGGGGUGGCAGGCUUUGGGCUGAGGGAGAAGCAGAGGAAAAGAACACAUCAGAAGAAAGGGACCUAACAGACCAGGAAGAGCCAGAGUUGGAGAAAAAGCAAAUGGCUAAUGAGACACCCACGAGAAUGCAGCUUUCAGAGAAGAAACUCAGUCGAGAUUUGCACACCCUGGACGAGGAAGAGAAGCAGAGAUGUUAUUUGGAGCUGGAUGUUAUUCCUUGCUCAAAGGGGAAAAAAAAAUUCUGUUUCAUGAAUGGAUGCCACGCAAGCACCCUUGAUCUUCAAUGAACAGGAUGUCAUGUGAUUCUGCAAACUGUUUCAGAACCAUUCACGCUUCCGUCUAGAAUGUUCCCAGAGAGGGAAAAAAAAAAAAAAACAGUGCAGGGUGGAGGUUCCUGAGAAAUCCCCGACUUAGCACAAGUUCAUUUUUGUGAUGGGUUUAGAAAUCCAGUUAAUCUUUAAGUCAUUUCCAAGGCAGAACUGUAAUUUUGUCUAUUAAAAAUAUAGAAAAACAAAACAAGACAAAACCACUCCCUCUGUCCCUCAAAAUGUGUUUAUAAACGGCAUCAUGUGAAAAUCCAACUUGGAAAGAAUUCGAGUUUGACUUUAAACUGUUUGUUCACAAGCUCAUGGUUCUUGGAUUCAUUAACUCUUAUUUAUAAACUUAAGGUUGUUUUGGAACAGGAAGCAUAACAUUUACUAAAAAGAACAUUGAAAUGUAUUUGUCUUUUUAAUUAAAAAAAUACUAAGAAAUGAAGUCUG